UGGAAUUUACCCUGAGUUCCCGAAAGCUCUGGAUGAUGUUGGGCUGUCUUGGCUGACACACCUCUUCAACAUUGUGUAGAGGUUGGGAACAGCAGCCUUGGAUUGUCAGCCUAGGGUGUGGGUCCCAAAUAUUUAAGAAAGGGGACUGGAGGAUGUGUUCCAUCUUCAGUAGGAUCACACUCCUCCGUCUCCCUGGGAAAGUCUUUGCCGUGGUACUGGAUAGGAUAGCCCAUUCGAUGGUCAUACCUUGGACAGGGCUGGACAGAUACCAAUCCUUGGGGGGUCCUGUGGUAGGUGUUUCAGGAAUAUAGAGUAUGGGGUCUAUUGCUAUUGCAUCAGGUCCCUGUAUAACCAGAGUGAGAGUUUGGAUCGCAUCGCCAGCAGUAAGUCAGACUCAUUCCCAGUGGGUGUUGGACUUUGACACGGCUGCUCUUUGUCACCGAUUCUGUUCAACAUUUAAGAUACUGUACAUAAAAAAACAGUGAUUUCAGAUCAUGGCCAAAACUGGCAGGACUGCUAGAAUCAAUCUGAUACAGCUGGACUUGUUUUCUGCCUGGGAAUCAGGGACUUUACGACGUUAAUCAUUUAUAAGCUGCCUGUUCGGGGCUGGAAAGGGGAGACAAUCAUAAUCAUCUCCUCAGAAAGGGAUAGCAGACUCUUGAAUGAGGACGCAUCUCAUUCCCGCACUGAAGAGUCUCCUGCCUCAGUUCACCGUGCAUAAUGAUAAUAAAGUUGACUGUGACAUUGCUACUGAAUGCCCCCUCCCAUUGGCCAAAGGCACGGCGUUCUGGAGCUGCCAGUAACCUCGGCUGCGUGUUGCCGUGUAAACAGCCCGCAGCAAAGUGGCAUCCUGGCUGCGGCAGUCCACGCCGGAUAUAUCUCCCACCAGGAAUUUCGAAUCAGCAAAUUGCUAUUAAUGAGAUGAUGGAUGGAUGUUUACGACACUUAAUACUGGGCACAUCAAAAACUAUAGCUAAUUACGUUGGCGCAUUAGCCAUCUUUUCAUGCUAGACUCUAACACCCGCACGCUAAUACGCGUGCAGAGAGAGAAAAAAAGAAUCACAGUUCUCGUGUUUCCCAGUGGAGGUGAUUUUCACCCCACUGACCCAGACGGUUACACCAUUAGCCAGAUGGACAACCAGCAGCAGUAUCCCAGGGCCCUAGAGCGUCUCUCCAUGGAGAUCUGCCACCGAACUGUUUACUGUGUUUUUCUGCAGGGAGCGGCAACAGCGAACCAGUGAGGAGAUAAGAAAUGAAGGGUGUUAGCCAUCUAGUGGUCGAUGGCGGAACAGCAGCUGACAAGCACCACGCCGGAUCGAUUUGUCAAUCCAUUGCAAUGAGGAACGCGGGCCAGGUAGUAGACUGAAGACGUUGUCAUGGAAAUACAGUGAUGGGUUCAGGGCUACCUUAUUUAGAAUGAUUAGACAACAUAACGCUAAUAACACAAUAACACGCAAUAUAAAAACCAUCAGAUUAAAAAGCAUCGUUAAUUUAGGUAUGCACGGUAAAUUAAAAGUAGCCCGAAUAAUAUUAUGGACUGCAUACUGCAAGAAAAAAAGACUUUUAAUUGCAGUAUUACGACUCUAUGUCCCAUGAGACAGAGGUAAUAGAUUAAGUUCACAAAUCGAAGUUAAUUCAUUGGAUUCGCCGCGGCUUUAUAACGCCGCAGGAUUCAAGUAAUGAUGGAGUACAGUGUCUGGGAACUUGAUGCUUUAAGAAAAGUCCUGCUGGCAAUGAAAAGACAGAUCUUCGCGACACGAAAGGCUUUGUGUGGCUUGGGGAUUUACGUCAGAACACCUUCCAUGUAGAAAUCAUUGGCAGCAGCCCACCAGAUCAGUGACACAUACAUAGUAUCUCGCUACUUUUCAAUAAAUACCUAAUAUGAAAGUAUAUCAGGCCGACAGGGGGAGCAAAAUUGUAAAGGAGGUAGAGAAAGAUAAAGGGAUAUAUGAGUUUGGACAGCGAAAUGGAUGAGAGGUGGGAGAAUCCCAGUACAGACCUGACACUGAGGUUGAAGACACGCCGGGCCACAAGGAACCUCAUUAAAUAGUAGAUCACCACGAUCAGCACCAGAAGGCCCAGAACUGCCCCAAUGAUGGCCCCAGUGAUGACACCGGCUUGGACAGGCACUGACAGAAAAGUAGAGAAGGGGGUGUUAUUUGUGCCCACUCCCCACAGCCGCUAUAGGUCCACGCAGUGCACGCCGGCCACCCAUUAAGAGCCGGUGGAAGGUGCAUUGCAGCACCGACGGACGGAAGGCCUGUGAGUUGUGAUUGGCUCGUUCCUGGAGUGGGCGGGAUGGACAGAUACGACAGCUGUCCCGGGAAUGGCUUAUGCAAACAGUACGGCAGGAGAUACGGAUGAGGAAUGGAAUGCAGAGCUGUCAAUCAAAAGAGAAGCCCAAAUAUUAAUCACAAAUAUGCAACAUAGUGCCAUAUUGAACAAAAUACAUUUUUCUAAAAUGUAGACUUGUUUUUCAUGCAAAUUGAUAUGGUACAUAGUAAUACAAUAGUUUAUUAAUUUAAAAGAAUUUCUUGUUAAACACUGACUACUUACAAAUGCAUAUUUGCAGAUCAUAUUAUCUCUUUGAGACAUUUACUGUAAGGACCUUACCUCUGUCCAGCAUUUCCCGCCUCCCGCACCCUGAGAGAGACACCCCCCCCUCACUGGGAAAGAGAGGGAACUGAACUGCAGCACUCGGAACCGGCUAAGGAGGGGUAGGAUGAGAGAGGGCGGAUCAUGAGCCAUUAAAAUGCACAAACUAAACACAGAAAAGACAAUGAAAAUAAAUUAAAUAUUGUUCGGCAGAUGCAUUGUUUCAUAGCCGCAUGGAUGGUCAUCAUCCAGUGGCAAGCAUUAUCAUUAAAAAUAUUUUCCCAGCAAGCCACUGUUCCAGUUAACUUUUUUUUUUUUUGGACCAAUCAGCAGUCUGCUUCCUGCGUUACAUCAUUCACUGGCCCCACCCAUGGGUUCCUUAGAAAGUCAUGGGGAGCAGGUGAUGGAGUGAAGCUGCAAAAAGAGAAGUGAGAGGCGCUUUCUGACCUGGCUGGCCGGCACGUGGCAAGAUGGGUAUCCAGGGUAGUUCACAAGUAUCAGUUUGCUGAAGUUGAACUUGUAGGUAAAUCUUUUCCCUUUGGUCUUAUGCAGGAUGCUCUUAUUGUAGUAAUACCUGCAGGAGUCAUUGGGUACACACAUCGCAGUCACUCUUCUUCAUGUGUUCACUUAGUUAUUAUGUAUUUUACCACAAGACUGUUCCCAUCUACAAUAUUGAUUAGCGACUUUGGAAAGAAAAUUAGAAACUUAGAAUUGCGGUCAAAUUCAAAUGAAACUUUAUUGUUACAAUAUGGCUGUGUAAAGAACAGAAGUCCAGAUUUAAAAAAGGGGUAAAUAAUCUUCUUCCUCCUAUACAGUAUUUCUCAUUCUUUCCUGAUCGCUCUUCUGAGUGCUAAUUGCUUGUUUGUCAGGGCUGCACUGGAAUUAAACGUCCUUCCUGGACUUGUGCUCAUACAUGCCCACCACACCUACAUUGUGGGGGGGUCCCCACCAUGAAUUUUGCCAGUCCAAAACUCUACCAGGAAAAGUACGCCACAUGGCCAGUCCAGCCAUAGUUACUGUCCCAUAAUUUGCCACAAGUAAAUAAAUAUUCAGAUUUAAGUGCAUCUCUGUGUGUGUGUGUGAAUGUCUGUCCAUCUGUAUGUAUGUGCAUGACUGUCUGUCUGUAUUUCUGUGUGGGUGUGUGUGUGUCUGUCUGUAUUUCUGUGUGGGUGUGUGUGUGUUUGUCUGUAUAUAUGUGUGUGUGUGCGUGCGUGAGUGUCUGUCUAUGUGUAUGUGCAUGACUGUCUAUCUGUCUGUAUGUGUGUGUCUGUGUAUGUACGUAUCUGUCUGUCUGUAUGUAUGUGCAUGAGUAUCUAUCUGUCUGUAGGUGUGUGUCUGUGUAUCUGCGCGAGUGUCUGUCUGUCUGUCUGUGCAUGAGUGUCUGUCUGUGUGUGUGUGUCUGUGUAUGUGCGUGUCUGUCAGGCUGUGUGUGUGUGUGUGUGUGUGUGUAUUUGCCUCACCUCAGCGCCCUGCUCAGCUUGUCAUAGUUCAUGUGUGGCUUUCCCUUUCUCUCGCCCCAGAGCCGCGCAAGCCGCUCGGGGUCGCGGAUCACGAACUCCCCCCACUCCCGGCCCCAGUCGAUGGCUCCGCCCUCCCCGCGUCCCAGCAGCUCUAACAGGAAGUGCCACAGCUGCACCUGCCGGGACCCCGGGGACCACGCCGGCUUGUAGGCCCAGUCUGGGAACAACACUGCUGUGGAGACAGUGACUACAGCUCAGAGCAGGAAGGCGAGUCAAGGGGGGGCAGGCUAAGACCCAGGACAGACCAUGGAC